rnacentral:lncRNA from 1 species
GUUGGCCUAUUUUGAUUAUGGGGUUGUAAAUCUAUUUUAAUUAUGCAUGCAUGUGCUAUGGUAUUAUGUGAUGAGUUUAUAAUGAUUAUAGUAUGAAUGUGGUAAAGAUGUGAGUAAAAUCUAUAAUAUCUAUUGCAUGUGAAAUUGCCAUAAUCAUGACAUGUUAGGAAUGUUUAAGUACCUAAUUUUGCCAUGUUGUAUGCUAUUGUAUAAGUAUGCGUGUAUCUAUUGUGAGUGUGACAAAAUGGCUUGGAAAAUAGCCUUGUAUUUGUCCAGGUUUUUGGACACAGGUUUGGGACAUGGGCAUGUCCCUAGCACACGGGCGUGUGCUCUAUACCCACAC